rnacentral:tRNA from 1 species
GCCCAACUGGCGGAAUGGCAGACGCAGCAGACUCAAAAUCUGCCAACGAGAGUUGUAAGGGUUCAAGUCCCUUGUUGGGCACCA